GAUUUACUCCCUCCGUUCGGAAUUAGUUGUCGCAGAAAUGGAUGUAUCUAGAUGUAUUUUAGUUCUAGAUACAUCCAUUUCCGAGACAAGUAAUUCCGAACGGAGGGAGUACUUA
rnacentral:pre_miRNA from 1 species